AUGUAAGCUCUAUAGAGAGUAAUUGUGGGGUUGACGUCAUUCGGUCAUUGUCGGAGUUUGUAAAUAUUAACGUAGGCGUUGCGUCCCUAGCUGCUUCGCAGUCAUAGCUGAUGAAGAAAUAGUGCAACUAUAGGUAGUGGAGAACCCAAAUGUUUCUGAAUUUGAGUUAUUUGAAGAAUAAGAUGAAGGUGAUAUAGCUAUGAGAUGAUACACAACAGCUGCCAAUGAGUCAUCGUCUUGAUUCAGAGGCUGGCAAGGUGCUUUUGAGCGAAAUCCAAGACAGAUGUGCAAAAUAGAUACACAAGACAGAGCUUAAACCUGAAGCACAAGAAACUACAUCAUCUGACAUUCCAUCUGUGAAGUCACAAUUUAUAUUUUUCAUGCAAUGUGUUGACCAGACAUUGUUUGAUGAUAUGACAAGAUUUUCUUUUU